AUAUAUGUGGCAGUAUAUAUUCCAAACUUGGAAUGAAAUGCUUAGCAUUACCCCUGCACAAGGGGCAAAACUCAUGAAGCGUUUUAUAUUUUU
rnacentral:snRNA from 1 species